UCAAGCCUGUGCUGUGGAAAUACCACUCCGGUGCCCAUGAGAGGUGGAAUUCUGCACUCGCACAUCUCCGUGUAGCCCAGAUGGACAGGAAAUUGUCCCUUGUGGUGUGGCUGUGUGACUACAUUCCGGGCAAUGGGACAGAACUAACGACCUGGCAGCAGCUCCAAGAAGAGUGACUUUGGAAGAACGUACAGCCCGCUUCGGGGGAUUUCCUCACUCACGGAAAAUCUGCAGUCCUUAAACACGGGAUUGGUUUUCUCUGAAAAU